ensembl:snoRNA
UUAUGAAAUUCUGGCAAUCAUCUUUCAAGACAGCCCUCAAAUGAAGAGAAUACUCAUUGCUGAUCACUU